rnacentral:tRNA from 1 species
GGGGCGUUAGCUCAGCUGGAUAGAGCAUCCGACUUCUAAUCGGACGGUCGAGGGUUCGAAUCCUUCACGCCCCG